rnacentral:lncRNA from 1 species
CAUGUGUUGAAGCCCUAACCUCAGUGCCUCCAAAUGUGGCUGCACUUGGAGAUGGGGUCUUUAAAGAGGUAAUUAAGGUUAAAUGAGGUCAUUGAGGGUGGGGCCUAAUCCAGAGUCAUUAGUGCCCUUAUAAGAAGGGGAGAUGAGAACAGGGCACAGAAGGAGGUUGACUCCCAGUCCAGGAGAGAGGCUUCAGACGGAAGUGGAUCUGCGGGUGCCUUGAUCUUGGACACCCAGCCUCCAACUUUGUAAGAACAUUAGCUUCUGUUGCGUAAGCCCCGGUCCAUGGUAUUUGCCACCUCAGCCCAGGCAGAGUAACGCACUAGCCCUCUGUACCCUGUUUCUUCGGCCAAGUUCAUUGCCCUCCUAAGUGUCUGAUACCCAAGUCUGCUUCCCAGGGGGCCCCACCCAGGCUUCCCCUUAAUCCUUCUCCUUUCUCCCUUGUAAAACAUCGUGGGGGCAGCUGUGCUUUGGAGGUUCUUAAAGUGUAAGAAACUGUCAAUAGCUUAAUCUAUGAUCUGGUCAUGGCAGUGACCCAGCACGGGGGCUGAGAAACAAGUCGUGAACCUCAUCAGUUGUCUGUGAGCAGAAAGUAGAUUGAGGCGGGGGAGCACUGGAGCCCUUCUGUCCUGUCCCCAUCCACCCCAUGGGGUGGCCAUGCCUGGCACCCUACUCCCAGGGCGUGUUUACAACAGCUGCCCCCAUCCCCCAGUGAACACUUGUUCUCCCACAAGCACAUUGAAUUGGCCCUAUGAUUAAGGAGUCCAAGGUCACCUGCUGCUGUGCCCCCCAGGCCACCCUAGCUGUUUCCUGAGCUUGGACUGCCCACCCUAAUUAAAAUUGGGGUCUCUUCUUGCAGUGGGGGACCUGGAGAUGCCUCUGAUGGAGAGGGGGCUUGAGAAUCACUCUGGGCUGGAAUGAACAGGGCUACUCCUCUCCACAAAAAAUGUUCAUUUUUGAAUCUGAAUAUGUCAUCUUGCAAGAGUCCUUGGUCCUUCACAAGUAGACUCCAGUCCUAUUUGUGAAGACCUGCAGUUUUCCUCAAAUCCUCUGCUCU